rnacentral:rRNA from 1 species
UCCACGCUGUAAACGAUGUCGAUUUGGAGUUUGUUGCCUAGAGUGAUGGGCUCCGAAGCUAACGCGAUAAAUCGACCGCUGGGGAGUACGGCCGCAAGGUUAAAACUCAAAUGAAUUGACGGGGGCCCGCACAAGCGGUGGAGCAUGUGGCUUAAUUCGAUGCAACGCGAAGAACCUUACCUGGUCUUGACAUCCAUAGAAUUCUGCAGAGAUGUGGGAGUGCCUUCGGGAACUAUGAGACAGGUGCUGCAUGGCUGUCGUCAGCUCGUGUUGUGAAAUGUUGGGUUAAGUCCCGCAACGAGCGCAACCCUUAUUCUUUGUUGCCAGCGAUUUGGUCGGGAACUCAAAGGAGACUGCCGUUGAUAAAGCGGAGGAAGGUGGGGACGACGUCAAGUCAUCAUGGCCCUUACGACCAGGGCUACACACGUGCUACAAUGGCGUAUACAAAGGGAAGCGAAGGUGCGAGCUGGAGCGGAUCUCAUAAAGUACGUCUAAGUUCGGAUUGGAGUCUGCAACUCGACUCCAUGAAGUCGGAAUCGCUAGUAAUCGUAGAUCAGAAUGCUACGGUGAAUACGUUCCCGGGCCUUGUACACACCGCCCGUCACACCAUGGGAGUGGGUUGCACCAGAAGUAGAUAGCUUAACCGCGAGGGGGGCGUUUACCACGGUGUGAUUCAUGACUGGGGUGAAGUCGUAACAAGGUAACCA